CUCGGGAGAAGGGGUGCCUGCAGCAAUGCAGGCCGCAGAGAAAUGGCGGUGGCGACUGUUUAACAAAAACACAGGGCUUUGCAAAAACGAAAGUUGAAGUAUAAGGCCUGACACCUGCCCGGUGCUGGAAGGUUAAGAGGAGAGGUCAUCGCAAGAGAAGCUUUGAAUCGAAGCCCCAGUAAACGGCGGCCGUAACAAUAACGGUCCUAAGGUAGCGAAAUUCCUUGUCGGGUAAGUUCCGACCUGCACGAAUGGUGUAACGAUCUCCGCUCUGUCUCAGCCACGAGCUCGGUGAAAUUGUGGUAUCAGUGAAGACGCUGGUUACCCGCAACGGGACGGAAAGACCCCAUGCACCUUUACAAUAGCUUAACAUUGAUUUCGGGUAAGUGAUGUGUAGAAUAGGUAGGAGGCUUUGAAGCAGUGGCGCUAGCCAUUGUGGAGCCGAAAUGUGAAAUACUACCCUUUACUUACUAGAAGUCUAACUCUGCAAAGAGGACAUUGUUUGGUGGGUAGUUUGACUGGGGUGGUCGCCUCCGAAAGGGUAUCGGAGGCUUUCAAAGGUUCGCUCAGUACGCUUGGUAACCGUACGUAGAGUGCAAUAGCAUAAGCGAGCUUGACUGUGAGGCCGACAAGCCAAGCAGGUACGAAAGUAGGAUAUAGUGAUCCGGUGGUUCCGCAUGGAAGGGCCAUCGUUCAUAGGAUAAAAGGUACGCUGGGAUAACAGGCUGAUCCCUCCCAAGAGCUCAUAUCGACGGGGGGGUUUGGCACCUCGAUGUCGGCACGUCACAUCCUGGGGCUGGAGAAGGUCCCAAGGGUUCGGCUGUUCGCCGAUUAAAGUGGCACGCGAGCUGGGUUCAGAACGUCGUGAGACAGUUCGGUCCCUAUCUGUUGUGGGCGAUAGAAAAUUGAGGGGCCCUGACUCUAGUACGAGAGGACCGAGUCGGACAAACCGCUAGUGUACCUGUUGUUUCGCCAGAAGCGCCGCAGGGUAGCUAUGUUUGGAUGAGAUAAGCGCUGAAAGCAUCUAAGUGCGAAACUCACCUCAAGAUAAGUUUUCUUUAUAAGGAUCGUGGUAGACUACCACGUUGAUAGGCUACAGAUGUAUAGGCAGUAAUGUCAAAGUCGAGUAGUACUAAUUGUCCAAAAAAAGAAAAAA
rnacentral:rRNA from 1 species